rnacentral:tRNA from 1 species
GUGGGAAUAGCUCAGUGGUAGAGCACAUGAUCAAUAUGCACAAGAUCCUGGGUUCAAUUCUCAGUACCUCCA